rnacentral:lncRNA from 1 species
GAAUCAGGAUAGGGUAUGUUGUACUGCUCCAUGUAAGGAUGAUGCUGCACAUUCUCCACAUAAGAUGUCGUUGGAUUAUAAGAAUCCUCAGGCGGCUCAUCAGGUGGAGGCGGAGGAACCUGUUCAUUAUCAGGAGGAGGUGGGGGAAUCCAUUCUUCAUCUGGAGGAGGUGGGACAACAGGCACAUCCUCUGAAGUCAGGGAUGGGUGAUCUGCAGGUGGAUUUGGCUGAACUGGUUGCUCCAACGUAGCAAAAUCUUUGGCACUAGAUGUUUCUCCAAUACGUGUGUUGCCUUCAGGAACACUAUCU